GUGAUUCAAAAGCCUAAACCACUCUAAAUCUUCUCCUCUUUCAUAAUCCUAGCUUUGUUUUGAGUGGGGAGCAUUGUGGAGAGAGAUAUUACCUCUCAAAAAUUCGGCCCUUUGGUGAAAAUUGGGGUUUUGAGAGUUUCUACCUCCAUUGAAGCUUGAGGAGCCAUCAAUCCUUGGUUGUGUGACCAUUGGUGGAUUGAGACAUUUGGACCAACCGUGAGUGAUCAACCAUUGGAGCAAGCUAUGGAGCUUGAAUAGCUCAUUGGAAUUGGUGUAUGUUUGUAAAAGUUGAUUGCUGAAACUGUUGGUGAAGAACAAAGGUUGACUGAAGCAUUGAGGUAAGGAUGCUGCAGGAGCCUCUGGUGGCAAGUGGCCAUACCUAGAUUAUGCAUGAAAUAUGGCACUUCUUUGAGUUUAUGCAUGCCUUUUGUAGUUGACAUGUAUAGGAUUUUAUUUUGAAAGCCCAUG